AUUGAACGCUGGCGGCAUGCUUUACACAUGCAAGUCGAACGGCAGCACGGGUGCUUGCACCUGGUGGCGAGUGGCGGACGGGUGAGUAAUACAUCGGAACGUGUCCAGAAGAGGGGGAUAACGCAUCGAAAGAUGUGCUAAUACCGCAUAUGCUCUGAGGAGGAAAGUAGGGGAUCGAAAGACCUUACGCUUUUGGAGCGGCCGAUGUCUGAUUAGCUAGUUGGUGGGGUAAGGGGCCUACCAAGGCGACGAUCAGUAGUUGGUCUGAGAGGACGACCAGCCACACUGGGACUGAGACACGGCCCAGACUCCUACGGGAGGCAGCAGUGGGGAAUUUUGGACAAUGGGCGCAAGCCUGAUCCAGCAAUGCCGCGUGAGUGAAGAAGGCCUUCGGUUGU
rnacentral:rRNA from 1 species